rnacentral:rRNA from 1 species
AACGAACGCUGGCGGCAGGCCUAACACAUGCAAGUCGAACGCGUCCUUCGGGACGAGUGGCAGACGGGUGAGUAACGCGUGGGAACGUACCCUUUGGUUCGGAACAAACAGCGGGAAACUGCUGCUAAUACCGGAUAAGCCCUUCGGGGAAGAUUAUCGCCAGAGGAUCGGCCCGCGUUAGAUUAGCUUGUUGGUGAGGUAAUGGCUCACCAAGGCUACGAUCUAUAGCUGGUCUGAGAGGAUGAUCAGCCACACUGGGACUGAGACACGGCCCAGACUCUUACGGGAGGGCAGCAGUGGGGGAAUCUUGGACAAUGGGCGAAAGCCUGAUCCAGCCAUGCCGCGUGAAUGAUGAAGGCCCUAGGG